UCCACAUACGCGUGCGUUCCCAGAAGGAG
rnacentral:piRNA from 1 species